rnacentral:RNase_P_RNA from 1 species
AAAGCAGGCCGCCUUAUCGCUGCCGAAGUUACUUCGGAAGAGGAAAGUCCGGACACCAUAGGGAAGCAUAGCGGCUAACGGCCGUCGUCCCGAACCAGUUUCGGGAUAGGACUAGUGCAACAGAAAGGAUGUACAGGUAAUGCUGUAGUGAAAUCAGGUAAACUCUAUGCGGUGAAAUGCCACGUAAACCUGUGCUUGAGGGUACCCGCCCGAUGCAGGAGGGUAGGCAGAUGGAGCGUUUCGGUAACGGAACGCCUAGAUAAAUGAUAAGGUGCCGAACUAGUUUCGGUAACAGAACCCGGCUUACAGGCCUGCUUUUUUC